GAUGAACGCUGGCGGCGUGCCUAAUACAUGCAAGUAGAACGCUGAAGGGGGAGCUUGCUCUUCUGGAUGAGUUGCGAACGGGUGAGUAACGCGUAGGUAACCUGCCUGGUAGCGGGGGAUAACUAUUGGAAACGAUAGCUAAUACCGCAUGACAACAGUUAUUGCAUGAUAACUGUUUAAAAGGGGCAACUGCUCCACUACCAGAUGGACCUGCGUUGUAUUAGCUAGUUGGUGAGGUAACGGCUCACCAAGGCGACGAUACAUAGCCGACCUGAGAGGGUGAUCGGCCACACUGGGACUGAGACACGGCCCAGACUCCUACGGGAGGCAGCAGUAGGGAAUCUUCGGCAAUGGACGGAAGUCUGACCGAGCAACGCCGCGUGAGUGAAGAAGGUUUUCGGAUCGUAAAGCUCUGUUGUAAGAGAAGAACGAGUGUGAGAGUGGAAAGUUCACACUGUGACGGUAUCUUGCCAGAAAGGGACGGCUAACUACGUG
rnacentral:rRNA from 1 species